CGUUAUUUUAUAAUCCUUAAUGACAUAGUAGUAUUGUAAUUAUCUCAGCAAGCGAAGACAUUUUUUAAGAAGAGUACAGAUGGUGUGAUAGCCGAUGCAUUAUUGAAGCUCAGUUAGUUAAGGGUGACUGUGCAUCCAAUAUGGAGGAAUGAUACUUUCUCUUUAGAUAUGCAAUCUUUUAUGACAAUAUUUGAUUGGACGUACUACACCAAUGGGGAUUGCAUAAAUGUUUAUUGGACUAUUCUUGCUAAUGAAGCAAAAAACUGUAACUCACCGUACCACCCAUCCAUAUUUUGUGGGGUUGGAUUUCGAGACUUGUUUGGAAUGAUGCACGUGGAUGCAUUGAAACAAAGUACAAAAACUGAUGAGGACAAGACCAUUAGAUAUAUUUUCUGUCCUCUAAAUAACCAAGAUGAUCAUUGGCAUCUAAUGGUCAUGGACAUGGAGGAAGGUCAAAUAAUUCAUUAUAACUCUCUUGGCACCAUAGAAAAUUACACUGCUGUUUUUGA